rnacentral:rRNA from 1 species
UGGGGAAUUUUGGACAAUGGGCGAAAGCCUGAUCCAGCAAUGCCGCGUGUGUGAAGAAGGCCUUCGGGUUGUAAAGCACUUUUGUCCGGAAAGAAAUCCUUGGCUCUAAUACAGUCGGGGGAUGACGGUACCGGAAGAAUAAGCACCGGCUAACUACGUGCCAGCAGCCGCGGUAAUACGUAGGGUGCAAGCGUUAAUCGGAAUUACUGGGCGUAAAGCGUGCGCAGGCGGUUUGCUAAGACCGAUGUGAAAUCCCCGGGCUCAACCUGGGAACUGCAUUGGUGACUGGCAGGCUAGAGUAUGGCAGAGGGGGGUAGAAUUCCACGUGUAGCAGUGAAAUGCGUAGAGAUGUGGAGGAAUACCGAUGGCGAAGGCAGCCCCCUGGGCCAAUACUGACGCUCAUGCACGAAAGCGUGGGGAGCAAACAGGAUUAGAUACCCUGGUAGUCCACGCCCUAAACGAUGUCAACUAGUUGUUGGGGAUUCAUUUCCUUAGUAACGUAGCUAACGCGUGAAGUUGACCGCCUGGGGGAGUACGGUCGCAAGAUUAAAACUUAAAUGAAUUAACGGGGUCAUAGCUGUUUCC